AGCAAAAUGAGGAAGUUAUGCCACCUGAAACUGUACUGUUGAUAAUUCUUGGAUAGCCUUCAAAGUUCUCUUGUUACU
rnacentral:snoRNA from 1 species